CUGAACCUGGGUCUUCUGGAAGAGCAGCAGCCAGAGCUCUUAAUAACCUCUGAGCAUCUCUCCAGCCCCAUGGAAACAAGCUGCUAUGAGUAAAAUUGGAGGAGGCUUUAAAACAAAACAUCCUGGACUUCUUGUUGUGUUCAUUAUGGAGAAAAGUCCCAUCUGAGCAGGAUCUGUUUAAAUGGUUAUUACAAAUAAGGUGCUUCCUCACUUGGCUUCCACGCUCUCAUAAUUAGAUCACCAACUCACCAUAGCUCCAGCUUGACACGCCGUCCGUCCAGUAGGAUGGUGGUAGUCUUAUAGUCUAUUCCUGUGAGGAAGCAGAGGAGUGAGAGUGUCCAUCAUCAACUGCUUCACUGAGGUCCUCCUGCCCAAUACUUCCUCAAAUCCCACAAUGACCCUUGGGGAGCAGAAGGAGGGUGCUCACUGCCCCCAGCUAUGGCUUUCUCAGGCAGCAGCCUAGCCCACGCUGUAUGGCAGCCAUUGGCAAGGCAGAAGCCCGGGUCCAAUGGGGCAUCGGAUACACUCAGGCCACACCAGUCUCUCUAAAGGCUCUGGGUCCAGAAUGCCUGGAAGGAAAUGGUUCACUCCCACUGUGACAUGUCCCUCCUAUAGAUUCUAAGUUGAACCCUCAAAGAAUAACGUACUUUCCAAUUCUUGGAACAUCAACAGGAAGCUGAUCUACGUCCAGCCCUUCAGGAUGGCCGAGGAUAAAUGGAAACACGUCAGUUCUAGGCUUGGCGACCAUUCCUCAGGACCUGUAAAACACUGAAGAUUCACAGCAGAAGGCCAGGUACUGUGAGCAGCUUCUGGGUGACACAGUUGCUGGCCUUGGCAUGGCCAUCUGAGUAUAGUUCCUCUGCUCACAUGGCCAGCCUAUCAAGAACAACCUCCGGCAAGCAGCCACCAUCCUGCAGGGCGGUAAUCACCUGACACAUCAGAGCAAAUUGGAAGCCACAUCUUCGACCCCCAUUUCCUUCCACUGCCACCACGUCAGUAAGGAAGGGCAAAGGGACACAACAGCUGGGACUAAGGCCCAACACAGCAUGGCCCUGUGGCUGAAGACCACCUGGAGCUCCUGAAUGUGCUUCACUACCUAGAAGACUACCUAGAAACAAGCCUUUACAGACGACUUAGAGACAAACGGAUCGAUUAAAGCCUGAGAGGGACCCAACCCACCCUUGCUGGCUCUGAAGAUGAGGGAAGGGUGCCCUCUAUAACUUAGAAACCAGAAAAAGACCAAAACUUUAGUUUUACAAGCAUAAAGAACCCAACUCUGCUAAUAACCCAGUGAGCGACGUAAUGAAACCUCCAGAGCUUGCCCAUCAAUGCUAGCUGCCAACAGCUUAGCUUUUGUUUUGGUGUGUUUGUGUGGUUUUGAGGUGGCGCUAGGUCUCCCUAGCCAAGCUAGGCUCUCCCUAUGUGUUCAGUAAGUACUUUCUUAGCAAGAUACACUCCAUUCCCUGAAACUUGCUGAUUUCAGUUGAGGGGUAGCCCCCUGCUAUGAUCUUUAACUCUGUAAGAUAGUGUUACAGCUGCAUAAAUGUUACUAA